rnacentral:rRNA from 1 species
CAGCCCUAAACGAUGCGCGUUAGGUGUAUCGGUGACCACGAGUCACCGAGGUGCCGAAGGGAAACCGUGAAACGUGCCGCCUGGGAAGUACGGUCGCAAGGCUGAAACUUAGAGGAAUUGGCGGGGGAGCACCACAACGGGUGGAGCCUGCGGUUUAAUUGGACUCAACGCCGGGAAGCUCACCGGAUAAGACAGCGGAAUGAUUGCCGGGCUGAAGACCCUGCAUGACCAGCUGAGAGGAGGUGCAUGGCGUCAGUGACU